GACGAACGCUGGCGGCGUGCUUAACACAUGCAAGUCGAACGGAAAGGCCCUGCUUUUGUGGGGUGCUCGAGUGGCGAACGGGUGAGUAACACGUGAGUAACCUGCCCUUGACUUUGGGAUAACUUCGGGAAACUGGGGCUAAUACCGGAUAGGAGCUCCUGCUGCAUGGUGGGGGUUGGAAAGUUUCGGCGGUUGGGGCUGGACUCGCGGCUUAUCAGCUUGUUGGUGGGGUAGUGGCUUACCAAGGCUUUGACGGGUAGCCGGCCUGAGAGGGUGAACGGCCACAUUGGGACUGCGAUACGGCCCAGAAGCCUACGGGAGGCAGCAGUGGGGAAUAUUGCACAAUGGGCGGAAGCCUGAGGCAGCAACGCCGCGUGCGGGAUGACGGCCUUCGGGUUGUAAACCGCUUUCGCCUGUGACGAAGCGGGAGUGACGGUAAUGGGUAAAGAAGCACCGGCUAACUACGUG
rnacentral:rRNA from 1 species